AAUUACUUGUGCAAAAGUUGC
rnacentral:siRNA from 1 species